rnacentral:rRNA from 1 species
AGCGGCGGACGGGUGAGUAACGCGUGGGUAACCUGCCCUGUACACACGGAUAACACACCGAAAGGUAUGCUAAUACGAGAUAAUAUGCUUUUAUCGCAUGGUAGAAGUAUCAAAGCUCCGGCGGUACAGGAUGGACCCGCGUCUGAUUAGCUAGUUGGUAAGGUAACGGCUUACCAAGGCGACGAUCAGUAGCCGACCUGAGAGGGUGAUCGGCCACAUUGGAACUGAGACACGGUCCAAACUCCUACGUGAGGCAGCAGUGGGGAAUAUUGCACAAUGGGCGAAAGCCUGAUGCAGCAACGCCGCGUGAGCGAUGAAGGCCUUCGGGUCGUAAAGCUCUGUCCUCAAGGAAGAUAAUGACGGUACUUGAGGAGGAAGCCCCGGCUAACUACGUGCCAGCAGCCGCGGUAAUACGUAGGGGGCUAGCGUUAUCCGGAAUUACUGGGCGUAAAGGGUGCGUAGGUGGUUUCUUAAGUCAGAGGUGAAAGGCUACGGCUCAACCGUAGUAAGCCUUUGAAACUGGGAAACUUGAGUGCAGGAGAGGAGAGUGGAAUUCCUAGUGUAGCGGUGAAAUGCGUAGAUAUUAGGAGGAACACCAGUUGCGAAGGCGGCUCUCUGGACUGUAACUGACACUGAGGCACGAAAGCGUGGGGAGCAAACAGGAUUAGAUACCCUGGUAGUCCACGCCGUAAACGAUGAGUACUAGCUGU